GCGCCACUAGCUCAGCUGGCAGAGCACCUGACUCUUAAUCAGGGUGUCCAGGGUUCGA
rnacentral:tRNA from 1 species